ACGGGUGAGUAACGCGUGAGUAACCUGCCUUUCANAGGGGGAGUAACGUUCUGAAAAGAACGCUAAUACCGCAUAACAUCAAUUUAUCGCAUGAUAGGUUGAUCAAAGGAGCAAUCCGCUGGAAGAUGGACUCGCGUCCGAUUAGCCAGUUGGCGGGGUAACGGCCCACCAAAGCGACGAUCGGUAGCCGGACUGAGAGGUUGAACGGCCACAUUGGGACUGAGACACGGCCCAGACUCCUACGGGAGGCAGCAUG
rnacentral:rRNA from 1 species